GACGAACCGUGCGAACGUUGUUCGGAAUCACUGGGCUUAAAGGGCGCGUAGGCGGGCUUGCAAGUCUGCGGUGAAAGCCUCCAGCUUAACUGGAGAAGUGCCGUGGAUACUGCGAGCCUCGAGGAGGGUAGGGGCGUCUGGAACGUUGGGUGGAGCGGUGAAAUGCGUUGAUAUCCAACGGAACUCCGGUGGCGAAGGCGGAGGCGCUGGACCCUUCUGACGCUGAGGCGCGAAAGCCAGGGGAGCGAACGGG
rnacentral:rRNA from 1 species